GUCCACGCCGUAAACGAUGGAUGCUAGAUGUCGCGGGUAUUGACCCCUGCGGCGUCGAAGUUAACGCAUUAAGCAUCCCGCCUGGGGAGUACGGCCGCAAGGUUAAAACUCAAAGGAAUUGACGGGGGCCCCGCACAAGCGGUGGAGCAUGUGGUUCAAUUCGACGCAACGCGCAGAACCUUACCUGGGUUAAAUCCACUCGAAUCCCGCAGAGAUGUAGGAGUGCUCGCAAGAGAGCGAGUGAGAAGGUGCUGCAUGGCUGUCGU
rnacentral:rRNA from 1 species